GACGAACGCUGGCGGCGUGCUUAACACAUGCAAGUCGAACGGAAAGGCCCUGCUUUUGUGGGGUGCUCGAGUGGCGAACGGGUGAGUAACACGUGAGUAACCUGCCCUUGACUUUGGGAUAACUUCAGGAAACUGGGGCUAAUACCGGAUAGGAGCUCCUGCUGCAUGGUGGGGGUUGGAAAGUUUAGGCGGUUGGGGAUGGACUCGCGGUUUAUCAGCUUGUUGGUGGGGUAGUGGCUUACCAAGCCUUUGACGGGUAGCCGGCCUGGGAGGGUGACCGGCCACAUUGGGACUGAGAUACGGCGCAGACGGCUACGGGAGGCAGCAGGGGGGAGUAUUGCACAAUGGGCGGAAGCCUGAGGCAGCAACCCCGCGUGCGGGAUGACGGCCUUCGGGUUGUAAACCGCUGCCGCCUGUGACGAAGCGUGAGUGACGGUAAUGGGUAAAGAAGCACCGGCUAACUACGUG
rnacentral:rRNA from 1 species